UUUUCUUGUUGCGGUUUCUUUACUGCACAACGAAAUUUGUGUUUGGAUCUAUCCUGUACAAUAACCAAAGCCAAGUUCAGCUGUCAGCCCGGUUCCAUUGUACUCGCAUCAAUCCGAAUCCUACUGUUUGACAUCUGUUAACUCUACCGUCUCCCACACGACAAACCUUAGGCAGGCUAUAAAAAAGUUUGAUUUUGAGAUUAGGCUUCUCGUUCUUGUGCGUUUUGAGCGCUUCCAAAAAUCCCUUUCUGUUGACUGACAGAACCUGCGGUUUUUGGAAGAAAACCAUAGCUGUUGGCAGGCCGGAAAGCAAGCGAGAUUUGGGUAUCCCUCAUUCUUUUGUUCUCCGUGUUUUUUCAUGGUUUUCCUGGACUGGACCUCUUUUUCUUUGUUCUCCGAGAAAACCAAGUAGGUGCAUGCAAUUGGGGCCCUUAGAAGACUCUUGCUUUUGCAGUCUUUUCAAUUUUCUGCCUGGAAAUCUUUUGAUGGGUCGUUCAGAAGGCUGCAGAAUAUCGCUAUGAUUGAUUGAAAAAUCUUUGCCCGAGUCGUUAAUUGGAGGGAAGUUCUACUGUGGAGGUGGGUUUCUUUAGAAUAUUGAAUUUUUCGAGAUGGAUGGUGCUGAGGUUCAUGAAUCUUCGACCAGUUUGGAUGUCGAUACCGAUUGGGAAGGCAUGAGAGAAACGUAUUUGAAGUUGCUUGAAUGUGGGUCGGAAGUUUGUAGGAUCAGAGGUACAAUUUUGCUGGGUAAGCGGUCUAAGAUUGCGCCUGAAACUGUUCUGGAACCGCUCGUUCCUAUUUUGGUUGAACAUCUGGAUGUCGCUCAGUUCGAUCAUCCGAGAUCGAUUCAAGAGGCAGCUGCUUACUGCAUUAUGUGUUUUGCUCGCCGUAGCGAUAAUUUGUGCCGGUUAAUUGGCCAGUCUGGCGCAGUUCAGCAUCUCCUCCGGCUGCUGGUUCAGUCGGAAGCCGGUCAUCGGAAGACAUUGGCGAGGUCCCUGAGGGAAAUCAUUAUCUGUUCUAGCCAAAACAGGAUGAUCUUGAUUCGACACAACGGGCUGCAAGUAGUUAUCAGUUUGAUGGAUUCGUCUAGCGGCACGACAAGGCGUUGUUUCGCAGAGAUACUGAGUGCCAUGGCGAUGCUGAGAGACAUGAGACGCGCGAUAGUUGGCACUGGCAGUCUGCCUCUUCUCAUUGAGGCUGCUGGAGUUGGGGUAAUGGCUUCUAGAGCCAGGGCAGUUACAGCCAUCGGGAUGAUUGGAAGGACGAGAACCUCAAGGCAGCUGCUUGUUGAUGCGGGCGUCAUACCCGUUUUGGUAGGAUUAAUGAGGGAAGGCGACCCGACUUUGAAGAUUGUGGCAGCAAACACUCUAGGAAUUGUCUCUGCCCACGUAGAUUUUAUCCGACCUGUUGCUCUGGCUGGAGCAAUUCCACUGAUUGUCGAGUUACUUGAAGGAACUGAAUCUAUUGGUAAAGAAAUUGCAGAAGAUGUUCUUUGUGUGUUGGCUGUUGCCGAGGAAAAUGCCGUAGCCAUUGCUGCACAUAUGGUGACAAUUCUUCGGCAGUCUAAUGAUGCUGCCAAAGCUGCAGCAGUCGAUGUUCUAUGGGAUCUGUCCAGCUAUAAGCAUUCCAUACCUGUUGUCAGAGUGUCUGGUGCAGUCCCUCUUCUGCUUGAAAAUUUACAAGUAGGAACAGCUGAGAUCCGGGAGAGGGUCUCAGGAGCUGUUGCGCAAUUGAGCUAUGAUGAGGAUGAUAGGCGUGCACUUGCCGAUGCUGGAGUCAUUCCAAUUCUCAUGAGGCUCCUGAGGGAUGAAUCCGAAGAGGUGAAGGAUAACGCAGCAGAAGCUCUGAUCAAUUUUUCGGAAGAUCCAUUAUUAAGAGAAAGAAUCUCAGAAGCAUUUGAUACCCCUACGUUUCAAGAUACAGUAAAUAGGCUUGUCAGAAUUCACAGAACAGACGAGCACAUAAAUCAGUCCUUGAGACGGAUGGCUGAUGAACAGCUUGCAAGGGAACACGAAUAUGGUUGACACAUCUUUUGUCACUGCAAUACAGAUUCCGUGACCCUUGUCACAGCACUUGCUUAUUUUUCUCCACUUAUUUGGUGCCGGCUAAAGGAGGAGAAUUGGAGAAAGCUAUCAACAGAAAUUUUUUUGGGCUUUCCUAUGGGAGGACCAACGUUGGAGGCAUGUCAUUUGGUAGGACUAUCACAUUUUCAUUGGAGUGUGGUGUUUGGGUGCUCAUUCUUGGAGAUUUCUAAGCUAUGCUGUUGUCCAUAGAUGGUAGUGGUUGAUGUCUCCACGGGCCUUAGUUCUGAAGGAUAAAUAUGAUCUUCACACAUCUAGGCUCUAGGUGUUUGUCAUCAAAUUAUGCGAUCACAGUUUUGCCAAUCUUGAAAUUUAAGAGUUUGCUAUUUAUACAACCUCAUUUUUGUCACCAAAUAAUAUUAGUUGGCAGUGUUGCAGGAGGUUGUUUUCUCUGCAAGUUCAUACGUACAACUUUUUUUUUCUCAAAACAGGUAUAAACAUGCUCCCCAAGGGAAUUAGGCCUCCUGGCCGCUCAUCUAUGCAAAGUUAUCUAGUAGGUCAGAAUAAGUUAAUGGCCAUUUGGGUGAUGGCAAAACACCUUAGCUAAGCUGGUUUUGAGCUACAACUGAGUUUUAGCUUUAAAUUUCAAUUGAAUAUGCAUUUGGAUGACAAUGAAAACACAGUUAACAAAACUGAGUAUUUCGGACAACCUAGUUUUGACUAAUAACCGAUAAGUUUGGAGGUCCAGCUUGUUUGGAACCUGUAACUGGGUCUUUUUGGAGGGGCUCAAAAUAUUUCCCACCAAGCUUGUGCAGCCCCGCAAAACAUUUCCGACCAAGCCUGUGAAGCCCUCCAAAGCCACUGUGAGGUUCAUGAAGAACUCUUCAGUGGGUUUCUUCCUCAUUAACAAGGCAAUCCUACGAAGAAGCUCGUUCACCUAUCAGCUGAUGCAGUAUAGACUGGAUCUUAGAUUCGGAUCUGUUAGGGCUUAUUUGGGACUUCGCUGUAUUUUGGGUUUGGAUCUUUAACUUGUGUAGACCCAAGAUCCAAUUCGGAUCUUAGGAUUAGGCCCCUUAAAAGCGCAUCUUUUCUUGUGAUUAGGGCUAAUUGGCAUUGUGAGAAACCCUAAUUUCCUUUGAUUAUUGAUUUCCCUUGUUUUUUUUAUGCACUUUCUCCUUCAAUUACAUUCUUUGGUACCCUUCAAGCGGGGAUUAGAGUGAGGAACUCUAAUCACUGCAUCAUCAGCUCUCAUAACCCCCUCCAUUGCUAUUAGAUUCCAGCCUCCUAGCGCCUCUCCAUCUCAUCCCAGGGCAAUCCUAUGCUGUUGCUGGCAAGUCUCCAUAUCACCUCUCUCUCUCAGAAAUGUUGCCUUCUUUUCCAAAUCAACUUUCAAGAAUCUGAUAUGUGAGAAAGAAAGUAUUUGCAUGCAGAAACCUCUUUUUGCUUCAAAUUUUAUUAUUUUUAUUAGAAAUUCAGGUAUAGUUCAUGCAUUUCACACAGAUAUUGGUACUGUGGGCAAUUAAUCUUUUCUUCGUCAUUCAGCACUAUGUCUUGGAUGAUCUUUCACAAACUAAAAUAGAAACUACCUGCAAGGUCCAAUCAGGAAUCACAGUAGAUUAUUUCAAAAUUAAUGGAAUUACUGCAUCAUUUGUUGUGAUUAUCAAGUGUGUAUUAUUCUUUGGAGGGAAAAAUUGAAGCUGAUUUCAUAGAUCUAAUUGACUUAUUUAUUAAGAGUGUUCUUAUAAACCAGCUUGUUCAACUACCUGAAGUUACCUUUUAAUAUGACGUUAUAUCUGCCCUACAUCCUACCCCUACUUCAUCCUACCCCUACUUUCUUAUCAUUUAUUAUGUGAUUAUGUUCUUGUAAAGAACAGUAGUUGGUGUAGGAGCUGUUUUUUUUUCCUUAAUCACAUGAAUGUUGAUGCACAUAUUUGCACCAGCUAUGACUGGAUUACUGGUCCAAACUAUCCUAGUUCCACGUAUUUUUUCGUGAACUUGCAGAUGUGUUCGUGUCCAAUUUUUUCUCUGUUUUGAUUAUAUGAAACGAGAUCAACAAACAUCUAGGAUUUUUUUCCCUAUUUUGAAGUCUUUGGUACAAUGUUGGCCACACCCUCUCUCAAAACCAGUCUAAGCGUAGCAUAUUCCUACAUACAGGAUGGUGGUAAUCAGAAUUCUGUGAAAAUUGCCAUGUCCUGGAUAAGCCACAGACCAAACAGCUGAAUCCCACAGUUUUUAGUGCUUUAGAAAAUGCAGGCUAGACAUUGAUUCCACAAUAAGGCAGAUAUUACUAAAAAUCGUGAAGAUUCCUACAAUUAAGAGCAAAGAUUCAUUGCAGCUAGGUUCACUUUAGACUCCCAGGUCUUUAGUUCUUUAGAAAAUCCAGACUAGACAUUGAUUCCACCGUAAGGCAUAUAUUAUUAGGAAUCCUACAGUCAAAAUGCUUACAAUUAAGAGCAAAGUUUCAUUGCAGGCUUUGCAGCUAGAUUUGCUGUGGUCUCCUUUUAUUCCCAGAGAUAAGGACAAACAAAAAAGCACCAUUUACUUGCUUCUCUACUGAAAUUUCUGAAAACAUUAUGGCUACAAAGUUGUGGCUUAGUCUAUCAAUGAAAUUAGUUGAAUAAAUAAUAAAUAACUUUUUAAAGGAUAAUCUGACAAUGUUGCAGCCCAGAAGAGCUGUUUACACGUCGCCAGGUAUCCUCCAGCUCAUGGCAUGUCUGGGGCUCGUUUUGGUAUGUACAUACAUACAUACAUGCAUGCAUAUAUAUAUAUAUAUAUAUAUAUAUAUAUAUAUAUAUAUAUAUAUAUAUAUCUAUAGGGAUAGAGAGAAACUGGUAGGUGCUAGCCAUCUCAGCCCUUGAUAUUUUAAAUAUCAGCAGCUGAGAGAAAAAAAGGAAGAAAAGGUGAUGGGACAUUUUUGUAAUUUAGUAGCAGUUUACACUUUUUCUCCUUGUUUUCCACUCAAUAGUGAAUUUGGCAAAGAAACAAGAGCUGAGGUUGUUCCUUAUCCAUCUAGCAUCUAAGUGUCUAGCACAUACCAAUUUUUUUUUCUCUCUCUCUCUCUCUCUCUAUAUAUAUAUAUAUAUAUAUAUAUAUAUAUAUAUAUAGUACCAGAUCUAUGUAUCACCUACACAACUUUCACCACCUCCAAGCCAUGUAGUUCCAAUCAUUUUUUCUUAGUUCAGACUUGUGCCAUGUUAUUUUAUAAUUUAUUUAACAAAGGUCUUACAGUAAUGGGUGUUUUCCUUGUUUAGAAGCCUCUUUCUGCAAUCAGAAGAGGAUGCCUCAUAUAGCACCAAUAUUUGAGGGUUAAGCAAAUAAUGGUUCUUCAGGGAUAACCAAUGAUUGACAUAUCUAUACAUGCAUGGUUCACAACAGCUAAUCAAUGGUGGAGAUAUCUAUAUGCAUCAUGGUCCCUAUAAGAUAGCCAAUGAUGGAAACAUCGAUAUGCAUCAUGGUUCAUUCAUCUGCUCUUUUCGUUUCAAGUGUGACAGUUGUCCCCUAAUUGAAGACUUGUCAUGUAACCCAAGGUGAAGUUGCUUAUGAACACUUAUGCUUCUUGAUCAGCCCUAGCUGUCCCUUGAAGCAAUUUAAGCAUGGAAACCUUCAACCUCUUGUAUUGAACUUAAGUGUUCCUCAUUAAUUUGAUGGUCGUUUGUCAUUGUGGCAAUGCUUCAGAUGCUCUUUUUUUUCUGGGUGGUUGCAUAAGCAGGUUAUUGGAUUUUGUGGGAAAAUAGAAUUGUGAGAAGUGCUGCAACAGAAGUUGCUUUGAAGGAGAGACUACCAAAGACGAUCGCUUCAUUGUGUCAAACACAUUGAUCAGAACUGAAUAUUCAGCAGUGGGGCCAAAGCAAGAGGGAGAUUUGAAUAUCAUUCAACAUCAGCUACCAAGCUCUUUAACAUCACAGAUCGUCCGUUAAGUCAAGGUAUAAGCUUUGGAAGAUUCCAUUCACAUCACAGCAAAGUUCUGUGAGCUUGACUCUGGCUUUUCACGUCAACAUUUUUUUCUCAGGUGAGCAAGAUGAUUAAGAUCCACCAUUCAGGAAGGAGCUGAAACCCCUCCCUUUCCCCUUGCCUCGGAUAUCCAGGACUGUUUUACAUUCAUCUCAGUAUGAUGCUCCACCCAUGCGGCAUAGGAGUGUAGUGCCUAUGGAAAUCAAAGAGUUAACACAUUCAUUCUUGCACCACCAGCCUGAUUAGCUGUGCUAUAUCCCUUAAGAUUCUACAUUUUUGUAGUGGCUUCAGGUGACAGUCAUAGUUGGACCUUAUCUACUUCUUGUUACAAGGAACAUUGGUGCGAUUAUGUCAAUUAUCUAAUCCUUAAAUCUAGGAACAGUAUCUACAAUUACACCAUAUUUAUAGAAACAAAGACAUGACAUUUUCAAAGUAUAUGUCCUAAAAACAUGUAGUUAAAGACAAUGUUUUUUUAUCAAUUAUCUUUUUAUGAAUUUGAACUCCAUUAAUUCAAACAAACCCAAACCUUAAUGAAAAU